GUAGUCACGUGAUUUUACGGAUUCAGCAGGUCGGUAUUUGCUGUACAGAUUUCGUUAUAUAAAUGGUAUUAUCUAGAGAUGUAUAGCUGCUUGAUAAAUACGAGAUGGAGUUACCGGCGUUUUCUACUGGAGAUUAAAAAGAAACUCAAUUCAAAUAGAAAUGUAUUUUCCGGAUCGAGAAAUGCAGUGACAUUUUCUCAUAACUUUUGAACCAUUGAAGCGGUGCGAAAUGAGGAAUACAAUGCCGUUUUUCUAACAUUUAUAGAAACGUAUAAACAUUCACAUAAAUACAUUGCAGCGGCCAACAAGAAAUUUAUGUAGGGAUUGUACAAAAAUCCUACUGUUCUACUGUUAUGUAAAUUUAAUUUAUUAACAAUUAAUAAAUGCAUUUUCAGUAUAU